GACGAACGCUGGCGGCGUGCUUAACACAUGCAAGUCGAACGGAAAGGCCCUGCUUUUGUGGGGUGCUCGAGUGGCGAACGGGUGAGUAACACGUGAGUAACCUGCCCUUGACUUUGGGAUAACUUCAGGAAACUGGGGCUAAUACCGGAUAGGAGCUCCUGCUGCAUGGUGGGGGUUGGAAAGUUUCGCGGUUGGGGAUGGACUCCCGGCUUAUCAGCUUGUUGGUGGGGUAGUGGCUUACCAAGGCUUUGACGGGUAGCCGGCCUGAGAGGGUGACCGGCCACAUUGGGACUGAGAUACGGCCCAGACUCCUACGGGAGGCAGCAGUGGGGAAUAUUGCACAAUGGGCGGAAGCCUGAUGCAGCAACGCCGCAUGCGGGAUGACGGCCUUCGGGUUGUAAACCGCUUUCGCCUGUGACGAAGCGUGAGUGACGGUAAUGGGUAAAGAAGCACCGGCUAACUACGUG
rnacentral:rRNA from 1 species